GAUGAACGCUGGCGGCGUGCCUAAUACAUGCAAGUCGAGCGAACAGAUGAUGAGCUUUCGCCUCUGACGUUAGCGGCUGACGGGUGAGUAACACGUGGAUAACCUACCUAUUAUUCUUGGAUAACUUCGGGGAACCGCUUCUAAUACCAGAUAAUAUAUUGUACCGCAUGGUGCAAUAGUUCAUCACGGUUUUGCUGUCUCUUUUAGACGGUUUCGCGUCGCAUUAGCUAGUUGGUAAGGUAACGGCUUACCAAGGCAACGAUGCGUAGCUGAGCUGAGAGGAUGAUCAGCCACACUGGAACUGAGACACGGUCCAGACUCCUACGGGAGGCAGCAGUAGGGAAUAUUGGACAAUGGGCGAAAGCCUGACGGAGCAACGCCGCGUGAGUGAAGAAGGCCUUCGGAUCGUAAAGCCCUGUUAUUAGGGAAGAAAAAAAGUGGAAGUAAAUAUGGACGUCUUGACGGUACCUAAAGAGAAAGCCCCGGCUAACUACGUG
rnacentral:rRNA from 1 species